AUUGAACGCUGGCGGCAGGCCUAACACAUGCAAGUCGAGCGAGAGGCGGGCGGGUGAGUAAUGUCUCGGGAACUGUGUGAGGGAGGGGGGUAACUCCUGGGAAAGGUAGCUAAUACCGCGUACCAUACGAUAUGCCCCGAAGGGAUAAGAUAGUAGGGGGGGAAAUGGGUAACCUAGGCGACGAUCCCUAGCUGGUCUGAGAGGAUGACCAGCCACACGGGAACUGAGACACGGUCCAGACUCCUACGGUAGGCAGAAGUGGGGAAGAUUGCACAAUGGGCGCAAGCCUGAUGCAGCCAUGCCGCGUGUGUGAAGAAGGCCUUCGGGUUGUAAAGCACUUUCAGCGGGGAGGCGUUACCCGCAGAAGAAGCACCGGCUAACUCCGUGCCAGCCGCCGCGGUAAUAC
rnacentral:rRNA from 1 species